CCAUGGUAGUGAUUGUAAAAGUGAACCUAACCUACAUAGUGAAGGUGUAUGCAACCAAAAUGUAUCAGAGGACAAACCCAACCACCCAAGUCAUGAAAUCACAAAUCCUGUGAGACGUUCAGAGAGACAAACCACUCAACCAAAGAGGCUCCAGUAUAGCCAGUUAGGGAACCCACUCAUAUCCAUUGCCCAGUCCCUAUUCCAUGGCUUAAGCCUUGCUUUUACUAGUGCCUUGAUAGAACCUGAACUUGAAACCACUUUUAAGGGUUCCAGCAUUCCUGUCAUUUCAAAACAACCCAUCCCAUGCAAAGGGACUUGCAUGUUCCAAGGGGGGACAGUGUAACCCAGUGUUUAAAAACACAAGAAAAAAAGAAUAAUAAUAGAUGUUAAUUCAAUUCUACCAAAAUAGCUAAAAGGUAAUUACGUAAAAAAAAAAAAAAAAAAGUGAAAUAGGCCUUUAGUGUUAGCUUCUGUUGGCGGUUUGAGCAGCCAAUGGCUGGCGCGGUCUGGUUUCGCGUCGGCCAAUGGGGUUGAUUGUCCCGCCCCUUUCAACAGCUGGCGGUUGUUUCGUUCGGAGCGCAGCAGACAGGCUUGAGAGCUAACAGCUGACGGUUGCUUCCGCUCAGAACGCUUGAGAACAGCUGACGGUUGCUUCGCUCAGAACGCCUGAGAGCUAACAGCUGACGGUUGCUUCCGCUCAGAACGCUUGAGAACAGCUGACGGUUGCUUCGCUCAGAACGCCUGAGAGCUAACAGCUGACGGUUGUUUCCUUAAAGAGCUAGAAAGAAAUUGACAAAUCUGGAGAUCUCGGAGAGUUUCCCCUGUAAACAGCUGAACCCCGAAAAAUAGCCGUUGACAGCUCGGAGCAUCGGUCAGGUUUUUUUUUGUUUUAGCUUGUUUGAUACACUUUUGGCUUGGAGGGCCAAAGAUUCCAAGACCCUCUUCUCUUGAACCUGGAUGGCGAGCCCCAGCCCAGAGGACCAGGCGCACGGGUAGAUAGUGACCCGACUGGUCACCAGCUGAGAGACUGAGACUGAACAAUUGACUCAUUGGAGACUAAAGUAUUCAAUUUAUUUAUUUAUUUAUUUUUAUUUUUAAA